UAAAGAAGGUGAAUGUCACUUCUGUGGAAAACCUGGACACUGGAAAAGGAACUGUCAUGCUUAUCUGGAAGAAGUGAAGAAAAGAAAAGGAAGUACGACUUCUGAUUCAGGUAUAUAUGUUAUAGAAGUCAACUUGUCUACUUCUACAUCAUGGGUAUUGGAUACUGGAUGUGGUUCUCACAUUUGUGUUAAUGUGCAGGGACUCCGAAGGAGUAGAACUUUG
rnacentral:lncRNA from 1 species